rnacentral:rRNA from 1 species
AACGAACGCUGGCGGCAGGCCUAACACAUGCAAGUCGAGCGAAGCCUUCGGGCUUAGCGGCGGACGGGUGAGUAACGCGUGGGAACGUGCCCUUUGGUACGGAAUAGCCCCGGGGAACUGGGAGUAAUACCGUAUGUGCCCUUCGGGGGAAAGAUUUAUCGGCAAAGGAUCGGCCCGCGUUGGAUUAGGUAGUUGGUGGGGUAAUGGCCUACCAAGCCGACGAUCCAUAGCUGGUUUGAGAGGAUGAUCAGCCACACUGGGACUGAGACACGGCCCAGACUCCUACGGGAGGCAGCAGUGGGGAAUCUUAGACAAUGGGGGAAACCCUGAUCUAGCCAUGCCGCGUGAGCGAUGAAGGCCUUAGGGUUGUAAAGCUCUUUCAGUGGGGAAGAUAAUGACGGUACCCACAGAAGAAGCCCCGGCUAACUCCGUGCCAGCCGCCGCAGUAACAC